rnacentral:rRNA from 1 species
GAUAAACGCUGACAGAAUGCUUAACACAUGCAAGUCAUUGGCGAAGCUGCGCUUGCGCAGUCUAGCCAAGGCGGACGGGUGAGUAACGCGUAAGGAACUUGCCCUGCAGACAGGGAUAACAGACGGAAACGACUGAUAACACCUGGUAUUGUCAGGCUGGCGCAUGCCGGCCUGAUGAAAGGAGACACUGCAGGAGAGCCUUGCGUCCUAUUAGCUAGUUGGUGGGGUAACGGCCCACCAAGGCGAUGAUAGGUAGCCGGCCUGAGCGGGUGAACGGCCACGAGGGGACUGAGAUACGGCCCUUACUCCUACGGGAGGCAGCAGUGGAGAAUAUUGGACAAUGGGGGCAACCCUGAUCCAGCAAUUCUGUGUGCACGAAGAAGGUUUUCGGAUUGUAAAGUGCUUUCAGCAGGGAAGAAGAAAGUGACGGUACCUGCAGAAGAAGCGACGGCUAAAUACGUG